UACGGAGGGGGCUAGCGUUGUUCGGAAUUACUGGGCGUAAAGCGCACGUAGGCGGCUUUGUAAGUUAGAGGUGAAAGCCCGGAGCUCAACUCCGGAAUUGCCUUUAAGACUGCAUCGCUAGAAUUGUGGAGAGGUAAGUGGAAUUCCGAGUGUAGAGGUGAAAUUCGUAGAUAUUCGGAAGAACACCAGUGGCGAAGGCGACUUACUGGACGAUUGUUGACGCUGAGGUGCGAAAGCGUGGGGAGCAAACAGG
rnacentral:rRNA from 1 species